rnacentral:tRNA from 1 species
GCCAGUGUAGUGUAGUGGUUUGAGCAUUGCACAAUGACUCUGGAGAUCAGGGUUCAAAUCCCUACUCAGAUA